UUUACUUUUUUUUUAUUUUAUUUUGUUCUUAUGAUAUUUGAGAAGUUUGAAUCUGGAAACUAGGGUUCUGAUUUGCUUGUGUUCGUUGUCUUAUGUAAGGAUGCCAAUUUCAUUAUUUGAGAUUGUUCUGAUUGUGAAUUCCGUGCUUUAGAUCAGAUAGAAACAAUGUUGUGUAUAAACUUGUUAUUUUUUGGGGUUGCUUUUUUGCUUAGUGAUUAAUUUCUUGAUUUGCAGUGAUUACUUGCUCAUUCCGAAGAAACCCACAUAGACCAUGUUGAGAAAUGAGGCUUAUAUUUAAGAAAUGGGUUGUGUUCUUGGUAAAGAGGUAGCCUCUGGCAUUGUUUCAGAGUCUAAAGAGGUCAAGAACCUGAGUGUUGAAUCUAGAAGAAAAUUAGACAAUGUUUCAGUGACAAAGACCGACAAUAGUAGUGUUGUUGAGAUUCAAAAUGUGGAGAUUCAGGAGGAGAAAAGGGAGGGGGAUAGGAAACCUAGGGGUGAGAGGAGAAGGUCUAGGCCAAACCCUAGGCUGAGCAAUCCACCCAAGCAUUUGCGAGGCGAGCAGGUGGCAGCUGGAUGGCCACCAUGGCUAUCAACAGUGUGCGGGGAGGCACUCAAUGGAUGGAUUCCGCGGCGGGCAGACACAUUUGAGAAGAUAGAUAAGAUUGGAUCUGGAACAUAUAGCAAUGUGUACAAAGCUAGAGAUCUAUUAACGGAUAAAAUUGUUGCCCUAAAGAAGGUCCGAUUUGAUAAUUUGGAACCUGAAAGUGUGAAGUUCAUGGCUAGAGAGAUCCUCAUUCUACGGAGAUUGGAUCAUCUGAAUGUUGUAAAGUUGGAGGGUUUAGUUACUUCCAGGAUGUCAUGUAGCUUGUACCUGGUAUUUGAGUACAUGGAGCAUGAUCUAGCUGGGCUUGCUGUGAGCCCAGGAGUAAAGUUCACGGAGUCACAGGUUAAAUGUUACAUGCAUCAACUAUUGUCUGGACUUGAGCACUGCCACAACCGUGGUGUGCUUCAUCGUGACAUCAAAGGAUCAAAUCUUCUUAUUGACAAUGAAGGGAUACUUCGAAUUGCUGAUUUUGGAUUGGCAUCUUUGUUUGAUCCCAAUCACAAGCAUCCGAUGACUAGUCGGGUGGUUACACUGUGGUACAGACCUCUUGAGCUUCUUCUUGGUGCUACUGAUUAUGGUGUGGGUGUGGAUCUCUGGAGUGCAGGUUGUAUACUUGCUGAGUUAUUAGCUGGAAAGCCCAUAAUGCCAGGUCGUACUGAGGUAGAGCAACUGCAUAAGAUAUACAAGCUAUGUGGUUCACCUUCAGAUGACUACUGGAAGAAAUCAAAAUUACCUAAUGCAACUUUAUUUAGACCU
rnacentral:misc_RNA from 1 species